rnacentral:rRNA from 1 species
GUCUAUGGUCAUGCUACCCUGGACAAUCCUGAUCCCCUUUGAUCACGAAAGCUAAGCAGGGUCGGGCCUGGUUAGAACUUGGAUGGGAGACCACUUAGAAAAACCAGAUGCAGUAGGUG